UUAGAAUUGAUAAAGGCGCACAUUUUAAAAAGCUCAUUGAAAAGAAUUCCCACUUCUUCAUCACAAUCUAUCCGAAUUGAGGCAAAAAAGAGCGA
rnacentral:ribozyme from 1 species